AACGAACGCUGGCGGCAGGCUUAACACAUGCAAGUCGAACGCGAAAUCACCUUCGGGUGGUGGAGAGUGGCAGACGGGUGAGUAACGCGUGGAACCUACCUAGUGGUACGGAAUAACUCAGGGAAACUUGGGCUAAUACCGUAUGUGCCCGAAAGGGGAAAGAUUCAUCGCCACUAGAUGGGCCCGCGUCGGAUUAGCUUGUUGGUGAGGUAACGGCUCACCAAGGCGACGAUCCGUAGCUGGUCUGAGAGGAUGAUCAGCCACACUGGGACUGAGACCCGGCCCAGACUCCUACGGGAGGCAGCAGUGGGGAAUAUUGGACAAUGGGCGCAAGCCUGAUCCAGCCAUGCCGCGUGAGUGAUGAAGGCCCUAGGGUUGUAAAGCUCUUUCGGCGGGGACGAUAAUGACGGUACCCGCAGAAGAAGCCACGGCUAACUUCGUGCCAGCCGCCGCCGUAA
rnacentral:rRNA from 1 species